AGAGCACUCCCUCCGUCCCAAAAUUUUUGUCUUAGAUUUGUCUAAAUACGGAUAUAUCAAGUCACAUUUUAGUAUUAGAUACAUAUGUAUGUAGACAAAUCUAGGACAAGAUUUUUUGGAUGGAGGAAGUAACAU
rfam:Triticum aestivum genome assembly, contig: Triticum_aestivum_CS42_TGACv1_scaffold_435533_5DL